GGCUGGUCCAAAAGCAGUAAGUUCUCAUUGAUUGUUCACAGAUUGAACUUGUUCUACUCUUUCCUCUUCCUACUGUACUUGACUUGUGGGAA
rnacentral:Y_RNA from 1 species